GAUGAACGCUGGCGGCGUGCUUAACACAUGCAAGUCGAGCGAAGCACUUUACUUGGAUUUCUUCGGAAUGACGAGUAUUGUGACUGAGCGGCGGACGGGUGAGUAACGCGUGGGUAACCUGCCUCAUACAGGGGGAUAACAGUUAGAAAUGACUGCUAAUACCGCAUAAGACCACAGCACCGCGUGGUGCAGGGGUAAAAACUCCGGUGGUAUGAGAUGGACCCGCGUCUGAUUAGCUGGUUGGUGGGGUAACGGCCUACCAAGGCAACGAUCAGUAGCCGGCCUGAGAGGGCGACCGGCCACAUUGGGACUGAGACACGGCCCAAACUCCUACGGGAGGCAGCAGUGGGGAAUAUUGCACAAUGGGGGAAACCCUGAUGCAGCGACGCCGCGUGAAGGAAGAAGUAUUUCGGUAUGUAAACUUCUAUCAGCAGGGAAGAAAAUGACGGUACCUGACUAAGAAGCCCCGGCUAACUACGUGCCAGCAGCCGCGGUAA
rnacentral:rRNA from 1 species